GUGUGUGUGUGUGUGUGUACUGUGUGUUGAACCCUGAUCCUAGAGGGCGAAUUGCCUUCUCUCGGUGGCGUUUCUGGCUUCUUCGUCGCUGUCGAGCGGGGAGGAUCCCGCGGGGAGCCUCGAACGCAAGCCCAGCCUUCGAACUUUGUGCCUAAAGCGUGCGAGCCUCCCGCCUGCAGCAGCGGGUCGGAUGUCACCCAGCGAGUGGGGGUUCCAGACCUGCACCGUAGCUGGAGUCCCAGCAUCGUCAGGAAAGCAAGAGUGGAAGAUUGGUCGGGAAGUAGAUGAGACACACGUUCUUCAUAUCCCCAUAGCACUUGGAUUCUUGGACCCAGGGACCGAACGUGGCCGUGAGUCAAAACUGUGUGAAACUGUAACCCCCUCCUCUGAGCUGUAAAAUCAAAACAAAAUGAAAAACACCAAACAAACACUCCAAGGAUGCAGCAUUUGUUGGAGUAUUAGGGAAAUUACAGGUGAAUUAAAGCUUAAAGAAAUGUGGCUUGCGUCUGUUCAACAUGAACGUAGUGAGAACUGGAAUAAUUGCCUUCAGAUCAAAGGAGAAAAAAAAAACCUUACUCCUUAGGAACGAUAGAGAAAACAAGACAAAAUUACACUUCAUCACUUUAAUGUGGCUUUUUAGACAUUGGCAAUUGAACUUUUUUAAAUGGGCACAAUUAAACUUUUUUAAAUGGGCACAAGAGUAAGUGGAAAGGAAGAGAAAACAUAGACAGUGAAGGUGUCCUUUGAGACAUAGACCUUGUUACAAGACUAUGGAAGAGGUUGGCAGAGCUGGUCACAGCCCCGUGAACCCACAUGGGCAGAGUAGGUUAAGAUACAUUAUAUUUGAGGAGAGAAAUAGAAACGCCACAAAGCGAGCAAGUUGAGAAUUAAGAAUUGAUUCUGUUUUUCUUCUAAAAAUGCAAAGAACAUAUCAGUUGAGCUUCCCAGCAGAUCGAAGAGUGAAAAUGUAAAGGCGUAAUUAACCUGAUAGCAGUUCACUGCAAAUGGAGAGAACACAGGAGUAGAGAAAUGAUGGUAUGGACGCAGCCAGGAAGGCUGCGUCAGAGGACGCUGAACCCAUGCGUCACCUCCAGAAGAGGAAGAGAGUUGGCGAGGAAAAAUGAUUUGAAAAUCAUGGUAAAGAAUUUGGGGUUUGUUUUACUUUUGCUUUUGUCUCUUUCCCUAGUCAGGGGCUUGUGGAAGCAGUUGGGUCUUGAGCUCCAUCUGCAGAAGAAGCUGCCUUUGAACUCUUGAUUCUCCUGCCUUUCCCCCCAAGUGCAGGGACUGCAGGUGUGCACCCCCACAUCCAGUGCAAACGAAUCAUUGAUAUUUGAUAAAACGCCAAGCCACAGAUUUAAGAGCCCUCAAUGUACUCUAACAGGAUAAAUGUAAAGUCUAUGCACCAUGUAACAGUAAAUCCGUUUAAAAAAGAGAGAAAGAAAAGUUAACAGCAAAAUCAAAACGCCCAAAAUAACAAAAAACACAUACAGAGACAAAGAAAAACCCACAACACAGGAGGAAAAAAAUCCACUGUAGGAGAAACAGCGUUAAGAACGGCAUCUGAGGGUGGGCAAUUUGACUUCAGAGAAGGGCGCUUGACAGCAUGCUUCCUGGCUGGAUCCUGACCCAGGACCACAAAACAAAACAAAACAAAACUACUCCCAACCAAGGAAAGCAGUAUCUCUAAAGGGCUGCAGUCAUUCGAAGGGCGGGAAGAGGAGACCGGUGGACUUCGUCAACUAGACUGAUGGACUCUGUCAGCUAGACUGAUGGACUCUGUCAGCUAGAUGGAGGGGACAGAGCUUUGACAAACGAAGGCAAGCACACUUUCCAGUAAACACACGCUGAGAGUUCAAUGCAACAGAGCUUUACUACAACAAAACAAAACCCAAACCAAACCAAAUGCUACAGGGAGCACACCAGCCUACAGGAAACAACAGCAGACAGACCCCCAGAUUCCAGGAAAGGACGAAUGAAGAGCACUGAAAGUGGUGUGUACAAGCCACUGUUGUUCACCUUAAGAGGGGAGUUGACCUGAUUAUUAGAAAACAACAGUAUAAUUUAGAAAUUGUAGAAUGUUGAGCAAAAUAGAUCAAUAAAGGAGGUGCUCACUGGAAA